GAUCAUGGCUCAGGAUGAACGCUAGCUACAGGCUUAACACAUGCAAGUCGAGGGGCAGCAUUUCAGUUUGCUUGCAAACUGGAGAUGGCGACCGGCGCACGGGUGAGUAACACGUAUCCAACCUGCCGAUAACUCGGGGAUAGCCUUUCGAAAGAAAGAUUAAAUACCCGAUGGUAUAAUCAGACCGCAUGGUCUUGUUAUUAAAGAAUUUCGGUUAUCGAUGGGGAUGCGUUCCAUUAGG
rnacentral:rRNA from 1 species